UUUGAGUUUAUGUCUGUCUGACUCUAAAAGUCAAUUCUUUCCUUGACGUCUCCCACAUUCCCAAGUCCAGACCAUCCUUGAGGAAAACGGUAAUAAUGCUGCCUGAGUCUGCCAUGCUCUGAGGAAGCCCAAGUGAGACACGUGGAAGAGAAUCAGGAAGCUCUGAUUGAAAUCCCCUGUGGAGCCCGGCUUCCAAGCCAGUCCACCAGCUGAAUGCAGUCACAUAAGUGAAACCAGGACAGUCUUUCCUGCUCGCUUUGAGAAGAUGGUGGGAACAGUGAGUGAAAUGAUUUACUGGGAAGAUAAGUGAAGGAGGCUUCAGGUGAUCAACGGGCUCUGUGAAGCUGGAGGUUACCAAAAGGGCACUGCAGAUCAAGAACUAGUGACCUACUGGGGGAGAAACAUAUGAAGAUAUACAACAUGGUGCAGGGUCUGCUAGAAGAAUGGACCAAGUGCUAUGGAAGAGACAGAGGGCCGGCCAGGAAGACAAUGCUGACGAGGCAGUCUUCAGCCCUGCACUGACAGAAAUCAGGUGUCCUCGCUUCAUAAAAGAAACAUUAACCGAUCCGAUGGGAGCUGGAGGCAGAAGUGCUGACAAAGAUGUAACUCCCAAGGAUUCUAUGGGGCAAGGGGAAAGCAUGGUUCUUUCCUAAUUUAGAGGCUUUCUGGGGUUUAAACGUAGAAAGACAGAGAAGAAUGAGAGGAGCCAGAGAUGAAGCCUGUCAGGGAGGAAUUCUCAGCAGCUCAUCAAGAGAGAAGGAAUGAUAAGGAAGGUCACCGUCCCCCACUCUCUGUCCCACUGCAUUAUCCAAGUCCUUAUCACCCUCUCCUGCACCCAAGCCUCUCCACUGGUUCCCUACUGUCUUCAGCCUCAAUCUGUUCCCAGCUCAGUAUUCACAUGGCCUUCUAGUGGUCUUUCUAAAUUACCUGACUGUAUUUUAAAUACCUUUUAUUCCAAUCCUUCAGUGGUUCCAUGUGACUCAGAUGGCAUACAAGACCUCCCAAAAUGUAUUCCUGGUGCUGAAGGUAGCCAUAUCUCCCCACAAGAGGGGAUUCUGUUUUCACUUACCUUGUGGGUCAGAGAAACUCUGGCAAAGAUUCAGGAGCCAGAGAUGAUGGGUGGUUUGAUGGCAGGAGUGAGCCCUUUUUCUAGAACCACCUUCCUUCCUACGUCCACAUAUGCACCCCACAUUCCUCUCACACGAGAGCCAUUUCUAGGGAGCACUCACUGACAAAGGCAACCUCCUCCAUUCCCAGCCCUAAAUGAGGCAUUGUGAGUUUAGAGGUGAUCCUACAUGGUUCCUGUCCUCAAGGAACUCACAGUCUCGUGGCAGAAAAAGAAAUAGAAACAAAUAAUUAUGACAAGGAAGUAAAUGCUCUCCUGGAAUUCUGUUCAGAGUUUUCAGGGGCAUGGGAGGGGGCCAGAGACUGACUGUAUGUGGGGGAAAUGAGGAGGAAUUAGGGAUUUGGAGGCUAGGCCUGGGAAGAUGGAUAGGUAUUUCCCAGGAAUGAAAGAGGAGAAGGAGCCAAAAGAGCUUUUCCUGUGUUAUAAACCAGUUGCAAAGACUUGUAGAAGACAAAUGCGGAAUAUUUGGAACACAAGGUAUAAUUAAACAGAAUGGUUGAGGGCGAAGCAAGAAUAAGACCUCUCAUCGUGUCAUCAUACCUCUCUGGCUCUGUCUCCUCCUAACACCGCAUCUCUUUUUCCUUGCCUUGGUCUCAUUUUCUCUUAUGUGGAAGAGCAUCUUGCAUGAAAGUUGUGGGGAGGAAGGUGGCACAUAUUGAAGCAGCUUCAGGCUUACAUCAUGCCAGCUGAAGGAGAGAAAAGCUUCUUUCUCACUAUCUCACUGUGUUUUAAUCCUCAGAAGGACUUGGUCUGAGGACUUUAGUCCUGCCUGCCUCCAGGACUAAACCCUGGUCACCAGUAUGGAGGAUAUAUUUAAGCAGAUGAUGGGUGAGGUGACUAAGGCAGGGCUCUAGGGUUAUGAUCUCUCUAAAAUCACAUGGUCAGAGUAAGGCAGGAGCAGUUUCUCAAAGAAAGAUGGGUUGCUGUGACAAAGAGAUGGGAGUGGGUUUAGACAGACAAAACACUAGAUGUUGACCUCGUUUAUGGAUUCCCUUCUUCCAGGAACACCUUGGUGACUCUCUGGGAACACUACGGAUUCCCCGAUAUUCUCUUUAUCCAGAGGGCUUGUACAUACAUGUUCUCAAUGAAUAUUUACUGAUGAUUAC